rnacentral:rRNA from 1 species
AACGUAGGUGGCGAGCGUUAUCCGGAUUUACUGGGCGUAAAGGGUGUGCAGGCGGGCGACCAAGUGGUGUAUGAAAUCUCCCAGCUAAACUGGGAUAGGUUAUGCCAGACUGGUGGUCUAGAGUGCGAGAGAGGGGCGUGGAAUUCCGGGUGUAGUGGUGAAAUGCGUAGAGAUCCGGAGGAACACCGAUGGCGAAGGCAAUCCCCUGGGCCUGCACUGACGCUCAUGCACGAAAGCGUGGGGAGCAAACAGG